AUGAAAAUUUUUGUAUUCCGACCAUUGAUGGAAACUACAGCAAUGAUUACUUCCUUGGAGCUUCAUACAUGAGGGAAGACAUUAAAACCAUAUACAAAAGGUUGGUUUUGGGUUUAAGUUAUUAAUUUAUCAUUAAUUCUGGUUGAUCUUUUUUUAUCUAGCUAUUUGGAUGUUUUUAACCAAUUUAACCAAUUAUUUAUGUGUUUACUAUUAUUUGUUUCCAGGUAAAAUGAGAGCGGCCUCCUUGUUGAGUCAACA